CCUACGGGCGGCAGCAGUGAGGAAUAUUGGUCAAUGGACGAGAGUCUGAACCAGCCAAGUAGCGUGAAGGAUGACUGCCCUAUGGGUUGUAAACUUCUUUUAUAUGGGAAUAAAACGUUCCACGUGUGGGAUUUUGUAUGUACCAUAUGAAUAAGGAUCGGCUAACUCCGUGCCAGCAGCCGCGGUAAUACGGAGGAUCCGAGCGUUAUCCGGAUUUAUUGGGUUUAAAGGGAGCGUAGGUGGAUUGUUAAGUCAGUUGUGAAAGUUUGCGGCUCAACCGUAAAAUUGCAGUUGAAACUGGCAGUCUUGAGUACAGUAGAGGUGGGCGGAAGUCGUGGUGUAGCGGUGAAAUGCUUAGAUAUCACGAAGAACUCCGAUUGCGAAGGCAGUUCACUGGACUGCAACUGACACUGAGGCUCGAAAGUGUGGGUAUCAAACAGGAUUAGAUACCCUUGUAGUC
rnacentral:rRNA from 1 species